rnacentral:rRNA from 1 species
GAGUGUGAUCAUACCAGCACGAUGCACUGGAUCCCAUCAGAACUCCACAGUUAAGCGUGCUUGGGCGAGAGUAGUACUAAGAUGGGUGACAUCCUGAGAAGUCCCGAUGUUCCACCCC